UACAGAGGGUGCAAGCGUUGUUCGGAAUUAUUGGGCGUAAAAGGGCGCGUAGGCGGUGCGGUAAGUCUUUUUGUGAAAUCUCCGGGCUCAACUCGGAGUCUGCAGGAGAAACUGCCGUGCUUGAGUAUGGGAGAGGUGAGUGGAAUUCCUGGUGUAGCGGUGAAAUGCGCAGAUAUCAGGAGGAACACCGGUGGCGAAGGCGGGUCUCUGGGCCGGUUACUGACGCUGGAGGAGCGAAAGGCGUGG
rnacentral:rRNA from 1 species